AGGGGAACCGGAAGUGGUUGGAUUCCACGGGCAGAGGGGGAGGCCCCAGGAUGACAGGAAUGGCCCCGGCACAGGAGCAGAGCAGCGACCCUGCAGGACAUGUUCAGGGCGCCCGGCCUCCCAUCUCCCUGCCUCGUGGGCCUGGAUGUGCAGGAAGGCUCGAACCCCCCCUGUCUGCAGCACCCAGUCCGAUUGUUCCGUUGGGGAGUUUCAGGUGGAUCACGCCUUCCUCAAGACCCUCCCAAUCCUGCCUGCCCCACCCUGCACCAGCCGAGGACCCAGACUCUCCCCUGGCCCAGCAGUGACAAGUGCCUUGCCCGGCGCCAACAGUGUGUGUGCUCGCGAAGCCGGUGUGGUUCCCUGGACAUCAGUGAGGGCCCCACAUCACCCGGCGCGGGGCUGGGUGCUGAGGAGCUGCCUCCCGAGGACUGGGUGCUGCCGCUGCGGAGCCCAGGUCCAGGUUCCUUCCCCCACCCUGCUGCCCCAGCUCAUGUGGCCUGCUGGGCUUGUUUAUGUUGCUAUUGUUUUUGUUGCUGUUUUGGGGGGUUUUUUUGAGACAGGGCCUCGCUCAGUCACCCAGGCUGAAAUGCAGUGGCAAGAUCAUGGCUCACUGCAGCCUCGACCUCCUGGGCCCCAGGGAUCCUCCCACCUCAGCCUCCCGAGUAGCUAAGAUGACAGGUGCACGUCACCACACCCAGCUGAUUUUUUAAUUUAUUUUUAUUUUUUGUAGAGAUGGAGUCUUGCUAUAUUGGUGGUCUCAAACUCCUGGCCCUAAGCGAUCCUCUUGCCUCAACCUCCCAAAGCGCCGGGAUGACAGGCGUGAGCCAGUGCACCUGGCCUGACCUUGAUUUCAGUGGUGGUUUCACAACAUCCACUUACGUCAAAACAUAUUGGAUUAUAUUCUUUAAGUAUGGGCAGCUUGUUGUUGACAAUUUCAACUCAAUAAAGCUGUUUUACAAAAA